rnacentral:rRNA from 1 species
CACGUAGGGCGCAAGCGUUGUCCGGAAUUAUUGGGCGUAAAGAGCUCGUAGGCGGUCUGUCGCGUCUGCUGUGAAAACUCGGGGCUUAACCUCGAGAUGUCAUCGGAAACCAUUUGGCUAGAGUCCGGAAGAGGAGAGUGGAAUUCCUGGUGUAGCGGUGAAAUGCGCAGAUAUCAGGAAGAACACCAAUGGCGAAAGCAGCUCUCUGGGACGGUACUGACGCUGAGACGCGAAAGCGUGGGGAGCGAACAGG